rnacentral:rRNA from 1 species
AGAGUGAACGCUGGCGGCAGGCCUAACACAUGCAAGUCGAACGGCAGCACAGGGGAGCUUGCUCCCUGGGUGGCGAGUGGCGGACGGGUGAGGAAAACGUCGGAAUCUGCCUAUUUGUGGGGGAUAACGUAGGGAAACUUACGCUAAUACCGCAUACGACCUACGGGUGAAAGCGGAGGACCUUCGGGCUUCGCGCAGAUAGAUGAGCCGAUGUCGGAUUAGCUAGUUGGUGAGGUAAUGGCUCACCAAGGCGACGAUCCGUAGCUGGUCUGAGAGGAUGAUCAGCCACACUGGAACUGAGACACGGUCCAGACUCCUACGGGAGGCAGCAGUGGGAAUAUUGGACAAUGGGCGCAAGCCUGAUCCAGCCAUACCGCGUGGGUGAAGAAGGCCUUGGUAGUAAGCCUUUGUAGGAAGAAAGCAAUCGGUAAUACCGUGUUCUGACGUACCAAGAUAAGCACGCUAACUCGUAGCCAGCAGCCG